rnacentral:lncRNA from 1 species
AAUUUUCUGGAUUUUUCCCGCAAUUUUCUGGAAUUUCCCAGAAUUUCCCAGAAUUUUCCGGAAUUUUCCGGAAUUUCCCAUGCUCAGAUUUUCCCGUUUUCCCCCAGUGCCGCGACGUGAGGACGCGCGAGGUCGGGAUUCAGGAGAUCCACCACAAAGUGAGGCCCUACCAGGUGGAGCUGGUCCGGCGGGACUACGUGGCCAAUUCCAAAUUCCCAUUUAAAUUCAGUUGCCUUUAGGGAAUCCAUUCCUGUCUGCCCAUAUUAACGGAUCCACAGAAUCAUUUCCCAUUUCCCAUUUUCCAUUUUCCCUCUUUUCCUCCUCUUCCUCCAUCCCGUUCCCGUCCCAGCUGGAGCUGAUCCAUUGGGAUCACACGGCCAAUUCCAAAUUCCCAUUUAAAUUCAGUUGCCCUUAGAGAAUCCAUUCCUGUUUUCCCACACUAACAGAUCCACGGAAUCAUUUCCCAUUUCCCAUUUUCCCUCUGUCUCCCAUCGCAGGUGGAGCUGAUCCAUCAGGAUCACGUGGCCAAUUCCAAAUUCCCAUUUAAAUUCACUUGCCUUUAGAGAAUCCCUUCCUGUCUGCCCAUAUUAAUGGAUCCACGGAAUCGCCUCCCAUUUCCCAUUUCCCAUUUCCCUGGCUCUCUCGUCGCAGGUGGAGCUGAUCCAUCGGGAUCACACGGCCAAUUCCAAAUUCCUGUUUAAAUUCAAUUGCCUUUAGAGAAUCCCUUCCUGUUUGCCCACACUAACGGAUCCACGGAAUUGUUUCCCAUUUCCCAUUUUCCAUUUUCCCUCUUUUUCUCCUCCUCCUCCUCCGCCCCAUUCCCAUCCCAGGUGGAGCUGAUCCAUCAGGAUCACACGGCCAAUUCCAAAUUCCCAUUUAAAUUCAGUUGCCCUUAGAGAAUCCAUUCCUGUUUGCCCACACUAACGAAUCCACGG